UGGACUUGAGAAUUAUAUGUAAUGCAAUUCUAUUGAAAAGAAAUAUAGGUACCUGAUCCAUGCCUCCUAACUUUAUCUUUGGUUUUGCUGGGUUUUGUUUGAUUCUUUUACCUCAGGUGCACAUAAGGUUUUGGCUUUUUUUUUUUUUUUAAAGAUGUUAUUUUAAGUAAUCUCUGCACUCAACAUGGGGCUUGAACUCACAAAGCCAAGAUCAGGAGUUGGAUACUCCACUGACUGAGCCAGCCAGGUGCCCCUCAGGUGCAUAUAAGUGAUAUAAAUAACAGCACUUCUACAUUAGGUUACUUAGCUGGUUAGUGUACUAGAUUUUGAUAUUAUAAAAUAAUAUCAAGAUUAUAUUUCUUAUCUAUUGAUAUCAGGCAUGGCAAUGUAUAAAAGUGACAUAGCCAGUUCAAAGCAGAAGCUUUAAGAGCUGUUGAAUGGUUUCACCAUCUCUUUUUUCCCUCUGCCACAAGACUUUUAUGUUCUGUGUAAGUGCUGCUUCUUCAACCUAGGUUCUGGAAUAAAGGUGGUAUGGAACAGAACAGCUGCCAACUUACAAUGGACAUGGAUAUGAGAAAUAAUUCCUUGUUGUUGAAUGGAGUUCCUGGGCAUGUAAAUGUUCAACCACAGAAGAUAAAACGAAAUAUUUUACAAGAUGGCCUACUCAUUUAAGUUCCUACAAGUAAUUAACAACUGAACUUGGGAACACGCAUCCUCUCCAACACUUGGUAUUUGUAUUGAAUAGCUUCUAUUUGCCCCUCCCCAUCAAUUCUGUACCCUUUUCACCCUACUCUAUGCCCCAGAGGCUGACUUGUAUGGAUUUCAUCAAUGUCAGGUAUGUAUAUAACAAAUAUACUUUCCUAAUUUGUACCUUG